GGUAUCGCCAAGCGGUAAGGCACUAGACUUUGACUCUAGUAUGCGCUGGUUCGAAUCCAGCUACC
rnacentral:tRNA from 1 species